AAGGAAACAUCUACAUACAUGUUACAUGCUGAGGUGAUAAGGACACAUCUACAUACCUGUUACAUGCUGAGGUGAUAAGGACACAUCUACAUACAUGUUACAUGCUGAGGUGAUAAGGACACAUCUACAUACAUGUUACAUGCUGAGGUAAUAAGGACACACAUCUACAUACAUGUUACAUGCUGAGGUGAUAAGGACACAUCUACAUACAUGUUACAUGCUGAGGUAAUAAGGACACACAUCUACAUACAUGUUACAUGCUGAGGUGAUAAGGACACACAUCUACAUACAUGUUACAUGCUGAGGUGAUAAGGACACAUCUACAUACAUGUUACAUGCUGAGGUGAUAAGGACACACAUCUACAUACAUGUUACAUGCUGAGGUAAUAAGGACAAACAUCUGCAUACAUGUUACAUGCUGAGGUGAUAAGGACACAUCUACAUACAUGUUACAUGCUGAGGUAAUAAGGACACAUCUACAUACAUGUUACAUGCUGAGGUGAUAAGGACACAUCUACAUACAUGUUACAUGCUGAGGUGAUAAGGACACACAUCUACAUACAUGUUACAUGCUGAGGUAAUAAGGACACACAUCUACAUACAUGUUACAUGCUGAGGUAAUAAGGACACACAUCUACAUACAUGUUACAUGCUGAGGUAAUAAGGACAUGUGGGAAAGCUCACCAAAGGCAUUCCUGUGAACUCAUACCAUUAAACACACCAUGACACCUUCCUUGGGUCAACACACACUUGUCGUUGAUGGAGACACACACACACACACACACACGUCUGGUCUGGUCUGGUCUGGCCUGUUCUGGUCUUGUUUGCGUGAUACUCUGCUACUUCCUCUGAUGCUGUGUAGAGAGGGCAUAGAGACCCAUACCAUAUCAGCCCCUUGCUCCAUCCUCAGCCCCUUGCUCCAUCCUCAGCCCCUUGCUCCAUCCUCAGCCCCUUGCUCCAUCCUCAGCCCCUUGCUCCAUCCUCAGCCCCUUGCUCCAUCCUCAGCCCCCUUGCUCCAUCCUCAGCCCCUUGCUCCAUCCUCAGGUCCCUUGCUCCAUCCUCAGGUCCCUUGCUCCAUCCUCAGGUCCCUUGCUCCAUCCUCAGGUCCCUUGCUCCAUCCUCAGGUCCCUUGCUCCAUCCUCAGGUCCCUUGCUCCAUCCUCAGGUCCCUUGCUCCAUCCUCAGGUCCCUUGCUCCAUCCUCAGGUCCCUUGCUCCAUCCUCAGGUCCCUUGCUCCAUCCUCAGCCCCUUGCUCCAUCCUCAGCCCCUUGCUCCAUCCUCAGCCCCUUGCUCCAUCCUCAGGUCCUUGCUCCAUCCUCAGGUCCUUGCUCC